GUAGGUGGCAAGCGUUGUCCGGAUUUACUGGGUGUAAAGGGCGCGUAGGCGGGAUAUCAAGUCAGUCGUGAAAUACCGGGGCUCAACUCCGGGGCUGCGAUUGAAACUGAUAUUCUUGAGUAUCGGAGAGGAAAGCGGAAUUCCUAGUGUAGCGGUGAAAUGCGUAGAUAUUAGGAGGAACACCAGUGGCGAAGGCGGCUUUCUGGACGACAACUGACGCUGAGGCGCGAAAGUGUGGGGAGCA
rnacentral:rRNA from 1 species